rnacentral:lncRNA from 1 species
GGCGGGGCCUCGGCCUGACCGGGGCCGGUGGCGUGGGGCCGGGGCCGGCCGUCAGGAGCCGCCCCCAGCCGCUGGCCCCUCGGGGCUGCUCGCUGAGGAGAUCCCGGCAGCACACUGAGGGAAUUCAGCCCCAGAACAUUAUAGCAAAUAGCAGUGCCGGCUUACUGCCCGUUAAAUCUUCCUGUGCUACCUUGUAAACCUGUAACAACCCCUUUCAGGCGCUAUGCUUUCAUUCUCAAAUACCUUACUUUUGGCAAGUGGUUCUGUCAAACUCACCCGUUAUACUUAGUCCAUCUGUGGACAAGUGGUAGUAACAAGAAUUAACCCUUCCUUGAAAUGCUUUGCAAUCUAUGCUUGAAAUUAUUUGUCUAACAGUUAGCUGUAAUUGUAACAGUUAAUUGUAAUUGUAAACGUAGGCUGAGUUUUGGAAGACUCAGGCAAACUUUCAUUUUGUUGCUGUAAGGGUUUAUCCAAAUACUAUUGCCUGGCAGUGUCCAUAUCCCAAGUGAAAGUUGAGGUACCAUUAGCACAACAGUGGCUUACUCUGUGCAAACCAGAUGAAAAGCAGAAGAAUAAUGCUGUAACUGUUUAAAUAAGUUUGACUGUGUAUUAUCAAAUUCUGCUAUGCAAAAUUUCAAAUUGUAUAUUAUUUUUCCUUAAUAAUUCUUAAUAAUGUGCCAGAUCAGUUUAGUGCUAUCCCACCACCCAUAUAGUAGAUCAGAGUAGCUCUAAAUAGUUCUAAGUUUUAAGAAGCAGUAACUUUUUUUUUUUUUUUUUCUCCUUUGUAUUAACAUAGUUCUGGACAAUCAUCAACCAUAACUCCUCCUCUCCGAUGACUUUUGUUUGUUUUAAGGUGUUUCCAAAACCACGUACGUGUAACAAAGAGAUUUAAUGCUGAAUUCCGGAUCUAACAUCCUGGUGGAGUAUGUGACCAUUGUAGCCAUCACUUGAAAUAAAACCUGCUAACCUAAAACCACAGUGAUUUCUCUUUGGGAAGGUUGACCAAUAGUCAAGAAAAAAUCUUUGAUAGUCUUCCAAGAUCAACAAAAUUGUUACUUACAAGUUUUACCACAAUGUUGAUGCAAUGGCUAGUCAAUAUGAUUCACUGGAAGAAGAGAAAAAAGAAACUGGAAUGGAACACUGUUUCUUCUCAGCUGCCUAGGCAUUAUUGAAGAAUACUUUCCCAAAGAAAAGGUGAGUUGCCGUCAGUGGAUAUGCACUGCUGACUAAAAAAUCUGACUCAUAAACUAAAAAAUCUUCGUUAAGAAAAAUAAAAU